AUUUUUUUUUUCCAGAGCAAGAGAAAAUCCAGUGACUGAAAAAGAAUAAGAAGAAAAACACUGACCAAGGCAAUAAUUCCAAGAAGUCAAAAAUUAAGGCCUGAGAGGAAGAAGGCAGACUAAAGAAAGUAGGACAAAAGCUUGUUAAGAGGAACUUGACUCUUUGUUCACUGCUGAGUCUUCGGUGCCCAGAACAGAUCUUGGCACAUGGGCAUUCAACUUCUGCAGACUGGAUGAUUUAGAUGUUGCAAAUGCCAUCUUCAAGGAUGCCCAUACUUCCUGGAUUCUAACUACCUUGAUAAAGUUUCAUUGCUUUGUUUUUCUUCUGUAUUUCAGUAUGGAGACCUUCUAUGUCCAGACUUAAUCAAUUUUCUGUACUUGUCCAUUCUGCUUCUGCUGGUGUUUUGCAGUAAGCCAGAGGUAAGCAGGAUAUUGUGGACUAUAGGAAGAGGUUAAACAGGUAACUCUGAUUAGACUUUCACAAUGGGGUCCCUAUAUUGCAUUUACAUCGCCAUGGAAAGGGCCUUUUAUCAUAAUAAUUCUAAUAAUAACUGGUAUUUAUUUAGCACCUAGUACGUAGUAGGAACUCUGCUUAGCACUUUAUAUAAAUUAUUUCAUUUAAUCUUUCUAACAACGCUGUAUUAUUUAAUCUUUACAACAACUAACUAUGGUUUUUAUUUCCAAUUUGUAGAUGAGAAAAUUGAUGCUCAGAGGUGUUGUGCAACUUAGAAAUGUACUGCAGCUAGGAAGCCACCUGCUGGUUUCUCAUUACAGCUAAGGUGCCAGAGCUAAGGAAUAACACAUGCCUGUAACAUGAGCACUUUGGGAGGCCAAGGCGGAUGGAUCACCUGAGGUCAGGAGUUCGAGACUAGCCUGGCCAACAUGGUGAAAUCCCGUCUCUACUAAACAUACAAAAAUUAGCUGGGCGUGGUGGCAGAUGCCUGUAAUCUCAGCUACUAGGAAGGCUGAGGCAGGAGAAUUGCUUGCACCUGGGAGGCAGAGGUUGCAGUGAGCCGAGAUGGUACCAUUGCACUCCAGCUGGGCGACAGAGCGAGACACCAUCUCAAAACAACAACAACAAAAAAAAACAAAAAGGGAUGGUCAGACCAGGAGAUGAAGACCCAAAGAGGUCCCUUUUCCUAUGAUGCUGUCAUAAUUUUCAUGCUCCUGAUUAUACCUGCCCAAUUAUUAGCAGACAUAUAGACAAUAGCAAAUCUCAAUUCACAGUCACAUGGUGGAAUUCCUUUGCUUAAUGCCGUAAAUUCAUCAAGAGAAAGGGAAUGGUUUUUGUUACAACUGUGAAUUAAAGGUAGGUGGUGACUAAUCAGUUAGCCAAUGCAUGUCCCUUGAGAUAAGAAAGUCAACUUCUUGUGAUAUUCAGGGUUCUCAGAUGUGAUCCCAAAACAUUAAUGCCAGAUACCUGCGCUCCUACCUGAGACAAACUCAUGGUUUCAGAGAGCAGAAGGUCAAAGCACUAAAAUGAAUGCAUUAGAAUUAAGCUGGCUUCCAUCACAAAGCUUCAUAUAAAUAUUACACCGGCUCUAUAAGACACUCAAUGUUUGGUUUCUGAACCUAUUAAUAUAUAAUGAGGAUACGAUGUAAUUAAUAUCGUUUGUUUUGAUUUUCUGUUAAAUCCGCUUUAGUAAUAAAGAAUGCAAGGUAAUUAUUCAAAAAGGCUUUUCAACAAAUGUCAGUUUCAUUGAUUAAAAAUCAAGUCAGUGCUUCAUUUGAAAUGAUAUUUACAAGCAUGCUUUAAGCUGAAAUGAAUAAUUAUCAGAUUAUUGAACAGCAAGUUAUCUGCAAAGAAUUGUCUACUUUUUUGCUUUUUGCACUGAGGCUUGAUCUCAAAUAAUAAUAAAAGACAA
ensembl:lncRNA novel transcript